GUUGCAGUUGUCUUUAUGAAACCUGGGAUCUGGAAACAAGAAGUGGCAAUGAAAGGACAUUUUGUUUUAAACUUGGGAUCUAAAAACAACAAAAAGAGGCAAUAUUUGAAAGCAUUUAAAGGACAUUCAUGCAUUAAGCGCGGCUGCUUACAUUUCUUCCACGAAGACAGUCUCCUUCUUCCAAUGACUUUAACCCCCUCCCUGAACUGGUUGCCUGGAAACAAUGUUUCCAGAUGGUGGCGGGAAACAGAAUACAAGGUGUCCUGCAUUUCGACCAGGUUGCUGUGAAAUAAAAAAAAAAAAAAAAACUAUAAGAUUGGAAUUAGCUCAAUUUAGAGACUAUGAGGUACACAUAUUUAGUGGAAGUUUCAAUAUAUGAACACAAAUCUGGAUUUUAUACCAUUGGAUUAUUAUUUAGAUAAGUUGUUUAUACAUUUAUAACAAUUGUCGUUUUUUUAUUUGCAUGUCUGAUCAACUUAUUGGGGACAAUAAUAACACUGGAUUGGACUUGCUUAAGUUGCUUAACAUGAAACCGGGCAAUGUUACAACUUUAAAUAUUGCAUUUUUUGUACAGUGGACCCAUGCAGCUAUAAAAUAGGACAAAAACCCCUGUUGUAUGCAAAUCAUUAAUACACUCCUUCAGGCUUUUGUCAUUGGUGUUGGAGGCAAAGAUAACAGUUUGAUGUACCUUUCGAAGCAUACGGAUGUAAUUUCUCCCUCAAAUGGCACUGGAGCAUCUUCCUCUACAGUCUGUAAACUUGUCUAGAAAAUGGAAGUACUAAUUGAAGAGUGAUCAUUGAAAGUACAAACUGAAGUCAUGCUGUUACCUUGAAUGCUGUGCUGGGGGUAGAAUUGUACGACCGUUGGCCGUUGAAGUCGUUGGUUGGUCGUACUGCGUAUACUUCAUAAAGUCCUGGGAUAAUGUCGUCAUCAGACUUUUGCCCCCACAGUGUGAGGAGAGCAGUCCUACCCUCACACUGUAGGGUGCACUGACGCCUCUUGGAGAAAUUGGAAAUUAAUUGUUCUCCAACCUACAAAAAGAAUGAAGAGUUGUGAAGAAGGAUGAAUUUGUUCAAGAAACUUUUCCUUGAUUUAGACGGCCAUUACUAAUUUCAAAAUGAAUGCUGAAUAAUUCGAAGCUGUAAUGAGAAAGCACAAGGAUAAUGUGGGUAAAGCUUUGAUGUUUGUUACAUACUUCAGUGACCUCCACUGGCCCUAUGGAGAUUCUCUUCCCAUUCUCCACGGCAGAUGACUCUUUGAGGUCCAGGAGUGUUGGUUUGUAAAAGGCCUCUUGCACCUGCCUUUGGUUCUGUGUCAGAAAGGCUCCUGUCUGCAUCACCUGCAUAACAAUUUAUAAUGGAUAAAAGUUCAUACCCAUACUGGUUAUGCGUGGUCGACAGGAGUUUGUAACUUGAUCCCGGCACCAGUCGGUUUUUAAAGUCCUCCUUGAAGGUACUAAUGGUGUGUGGUUGGCAGUCCUGAUCAACAAGGCCAGAAAACAAAAACUUUGUAGUCUUCCCCGUCGCCGAGUACCUGGACGUGAUUGCCCUGGUCUCGGGUCCUUCCAGUAUGAAGCACUUCACAUUCUGGUAUAAAAAAUGUUUGAAGAAAUUGUUUUCUUUGUUUCAAUUAUUUAAAAAAAAAAAAUUAAACAAAUUAAAUCUCA